UACGAAGGGGGCUAGCGUUGUUCGGAAUUACUGGGCGUAAAGGGCGCGUAGGCGGCCUGCCAAGUCUGAUGUGAAAUCCCUGGGCUCAACCCGGGAAUGGCACCAGGGACUGGUAGGCUUGAGGACGGGAGAGGAUGGUGGAAUUCCCAGUGUAGAGGUGAAAUUCGUAGAUAUUGGGAAGAACACCGGUGGCGAAGGCGGGCAUCUGGUCCGCUUCUGACGCUGAGGCGCGAAAGCGUGGGGAGCAAACAGG
rnacentral:rRNA from 1 species